UAUUGGUGGCUGAUUUGAUGAAUUAACAUGUUUUGGUUGCUGAUAUUGUGCUAUGUUACAUGUAUAUAGAAUGAUUGAUGGAAUGAAGUUGGAAGAAAGUUAGAAAUUUGGAGAAGGAUCUCAAGAGGACUUCGAGGGAACUCCCGGCGAAGCGUCUUAGAGCUAAUUUCUCAAACUUUGACUUUUGAUACUUGGUUUGGAAGUGGAAGUUCUGAGGCUUAAUUAGUGACCCCCAA